rnacentral:rRNA from 1 species
GUCUAUGGCCAUGUUACCCUGACCUCAACCUAUCUAUCUCUUCUCAUCUAAGCAGGGCUUGGUUAGUACUUGGAUGGGAGCCUGCCUAAGAUAACCAAGUACUGUAAGCU